AGAGGGCACUGGAAGGUCCCCAGACGCAAGCCCAGUUCCGUCCGUUCCGAUGGUGCAGGACCGCCAGCGGCGUGCGGAAGCGCGGCGGAGCGCGGCGUCCGCCGGGCAGUCGAGCCGCUGCGAGCUGGCGCUGCUCCGCUCUACCGCCGACCUCCGGGGCCAAGCGCGCUGGGGCACCGCGCUGCGCGGCACAGAGCAGUCGGCUGCGCUGGUGAGGAUGCGAGGCUGGUGGGGGGGCGGGGGCACGGGGAUGCGGGGAGAGGCAGCCCUUCCCUGGGAGAAACAACAACAACAACAACAGGUACAGAAGGGCGGGGGGCGAGGGUCCUGCCGCGCAGAAAGCUGGACGGGAAGUUUCCGUGGCGAGGGAGGGGGACAGCGUCCACGGUGUCGCCGCUGUCUCCAGGUUUCGAAGCCCGCGCAGCGGGACCCUACUCAGAGCGGCGCCCCCUCGCGGAUCCCAACUAUCGCCUGCAACUUCUAGUUUCACCCCUGUCUCUGGCGACCCCCGAUUGUGAUAUUCUGGCCGUUUACACCACUCCAACCUCCUUUCCCUUCCACGAACCCCUUCCUUUGCUCUCCGCUUCUCCGUUCCGCGAGAGAUGGCCCUGCAAAAAGCUCCUAGAUUCGGGGUUCACCAAAUCAGCCAGGGAAAGUCGAGGGAGAAGGCGAAGGCGGAGCGGGGGGACUCAGGUUCGGGCGAGGGUGCUGAGGUCACGGCGCAGCGAGCAACAGGAGACCUCGAGCUGGAGGGAGGCAGAUGUGGAGGCAGAGGGCCGUGCCUUGGAAGGGCUGAGAAAACCCCACAACUUCCAGCCAGGAGUUGCUUCUUGUUUUGCUUGUUUGUUUUUGUUUGUUUGUUUGCUCAUAGGAGCAGAGUGGGGACACGGACCCUCGCAGAACCACAGAGGAGCGUCGCACAACUGCGCCAAGGACAAACCCAGGGCACUCACACCAGGGGCUGGAGCCGUCGCCGCGCUCCCACGGGAAGACCAUUCCUCAGCGCACAUGAAUAUAAAAGGAAUACAACCAAAGAUUAAUUGCCAAAUUCAACGUGAUUAAACAGGAUUGUAAGCGCUAUAUGCAGCAUUUUGCUGAGAUUUUUAUCUUUCAGUGAUCAUCCAAAGGAUACUGAGACUGGUAAGGAACCAAAUUUAAAAGAAUAUUUAAAUGCAAAUGAUUCACAGUUCAAAUUUUAACAUAGAACAAAGGAAGGGAGAUUUUUAUGUGGAAUUCAGAAUUUAAUCAAUGCAAAUUUUCAUUUGAUUAUCUGAAACAUGCACAGAAGGCCCGUGGCUAAAGAGGAAACAUGCACCCUCUUAGAAAUUUCAAUUUUAUUUAAUAAGUGUUUAUCCUUGUAGCAUAUAGAGACAUAAUUUGAUAUAUAUUUUUUGAGUCAUACCCUCAAAACAAAUUUAAUUUUUAACUUUUUCUCAAAAAACUGCAAGCAAAAUUAAAGCUCUCUCUCAUACGAAAUUAUUGUUGGUAUCUCUUGACAGAUGAGAAACCAAAGAUUUCUAUAUAAUUUUUACAUAUCAUUUUGGAGAUGGUAAAACGGCUAUUCAAGGUAAAAUUUUUAAAACAUUAAUUGUAUAAUGCAAGUAAGACUUAGCUUAGGACUCACUACUCUUUAUUAUAAAAAUGAAGUAUAUACAAUCCAUAUAAAUGUUUUAUUACUCACAACUCCUACCGAUAAAUCUUUAUUGAGUGUCUAAUUUGUUACGGACACUAUACUAGACAAUGUCCAGACUAGACUGAUUGUCUCUAGUCCAUUGAAGGUGUACAGACUUUUAAAUAAAAAAGUUCCAUAGGAGUGCCUGGGUGGUUCA
rnacentral:lncRNA from 1 species